GCCCGGGUGGCGGAAUGGUAGACGCAGCGGACUUAAAAUCCGCUGGCCGAAAGGCCGUGCCGGUUCAAGUCCGGCCCUGGGCACCA
rnacentral:tRNA from 1 species